rnacentral:misc_RNA from 1 species
GCAAACUUGGUCAUUUAGAGGAAGUAAAAGUCGUAACAAGGUUUCCGUAGGUGAACCUGCGGAAGGAUCAUUAACGAAUUGAACAAAAGCGCCCCCUCGGCUGAUGCUGGCCCCUCGGGGCACGUGCACGCCCGGGCGCGCCUUCCAUUCGCUUCCCCCCUUGUGCACUCCAUGUAGGCCGCUGGCGGUGGUCCUCCACCUCCGGCCCCUACGAUUUUCGUCUUUGUACGCACCCUGAUCGCAUGUGUUAGCGUAGCACUCUUGUGUUGACACGUAACGCGAAAUACAACUUUCAACAACGGAUCUCUUGGCUCUCGCAUCGAUGAAGAACGCAGC